CUCUCUGAUAUCCGUCUGUUCUUCAACAGACCAACCUCACAGGCCCAACAUAAUAUGGCGUCUGGGGAACCACGUGGCUCCAGUGACUCCGAACCAUCCCAAGAUGAAGAGAGAGCCCAAGCAUCCCAUUCCCACGGCAGGGUAUACCAGAGGACCGACUCGGAUUCCAACAUAUCUCCCUCUACUAAAUGGGAUAUUAAAAACCUCCUUG